rnacentral:rRNA from 1 species
GACGAACGCUGGCGGCGUGCUUAACACAUGCAAGUCGAACGAUGAAGAAAAGAAUCGAAGCUUCGGCAGAAAUUCAUUUCGGAUUAGUGGCAGACGGGUGAGUAACGCGUGAACAACCUACCUCUUACAAAGGGAUAGCCUCGGGAAACCGGGAUUAAUACCAUAUAACAUUGUGACGAAGCAUUUCGAUGCAAUCAAAGCUACGGCGGUAAGAGAUGGGCUCGCGUCCCAUUAACCGGAUGGUGAGGUAACGGCUCACCAUAGUGACGAUGGGUAACCGGCCUGAGAGGGUGAACGGUCACACUGGAACUGAGACACGGUCCAGACUCCUACGGGAGGCAGCAGUGGGGAAUAUUGCACAAUGGAGGGAACUCUGAUGCAGCGACGCCGCGUGAGUGAUGAAGGAAUUCGUUUCGUAAAACUCUGUUCUAUGGGAAGAAAAGGACUGUACCAUAGGAGAAAGCUCCGGCUAAAUACGUG